rnacentral:lncRNA from 1 species
UAGAGAUGAAAGGCUGCAGAAAUGUUUAUUGAAUACAGUGCCAGGUUUAUAAAUAAAACGUAUUUACAAUUUCCAUAGAGUUGGUCCCCCAUCAGAGAGGUGGUUAAAUCUCCAAACAGUUUAUCUCAAGAUUUACAGAAACGUCCAAGUACAUCUCCUUUUCAAAUAGCCAUGGUGAAGGGCAACUUCAGUAACAAAAGAACUACCACCAUCUUUGCUAGACAUGCAUUUAUAAAGAGAAUAUAAAAAUAUGUACAAUAGCUCAUUUUCAAUGUGUGUAAGUUGCCGAAAGACACCAAUGAAAGUGUG